AACGAACGCUGGCGGCAUGCCUAACGCAUGCAAGUCGAACGAGACCUUCGGGUCUAGUGGCGCACGGGUGCGUAACGCGUGGGAACCUGCCCUUAGGUUCGGAAUAACUCCCCGAAAGGGGUGCUAAUACCGGAUAAUGUCUUCGGACCAAAGAUUUAUCGCCUUUGGAUGGGCCCGCGUUGGAUUAGCUAGUUGGUAGGGUAAAAGCCUACCAAGGCGACGAUCCAUAGCUGGUCUGAGAGGAUGAUCAGCCACACUGGGAAUGAGACACGGCCCAGACUCCUACGGGAGGCAGCAGUGGGGAAUAUUGGACAAUGGGCGAAAGCCUGAUACAGCAAUGCCGCGUGAGUGAUGAAGGCCUUAGGGUUGUAAAGCUCUUUUACCCGGGAUGAUAAUGACAGUACCGGGAGAAUAAGCUCCGGCUAACUCCGUG
rnacentral:rRNA from 1 species